UACGGAGGGGGCUAGCGUUGUUCGGAAUUACUGGGCGUAAAGCGCACGUAGGCGGCUUUGUAAGUUAGAGGUGAAAGCCCGGGGCUCAACUCCGGAAUUGCCUUUAAGACUGCAUCGCUAGAAUUGUGGAGAGGUAAGUGGAAUUCCGAGUGUAGAGGUGAAAUUGUAGAUAUUCGGAAGAACACCAGUGGCGAAGGCGACUUACUGGACACAUAUUGACGCUGAGGUGCGAAAAGCGUGGGGAGCAAA
rnacentral:rRNA from 1 species